rnacentral:misc_RNA from 1 species
AUCCUGUUUUAAGCAAAUACUUUAAAAUUUAUACACAAUCGGCAAAGCUAUAUCAUUUACAGUGAGUGAUAUGCAUAGAGUAAUGUAGAUUAUAUCUCAAUGAUAAAAAACAGUAUUUCAUCAGUUGGCAUAAAAUAAAUGUCUGUACAACUCUAAUAAUCAUUGUGCUUGUCGAAUUAACAAUUAAGCUGUGAAAUUCUGCAAUUAACAAAAAUGUCCCUUUUCAAAUCUAACUUCACUUAAAUGUCUUCAUUCAUUGUGUUUCAGGAGAACCGGUGCCUAAAGUUAGAAAGUCUACACAGUUGGUAAUCGAGGGAGCGGAGAACAUGCCAGGAGCAAAAUCCACGCCAGUUCCUCCGUCGUUUGCUUCAAAAUCAAAAGGUGUAUUUAGUGUUGAUUUGAAACAACUGAACCACUGCCCGGAUAAAUACAGAGUGCGACGGAUAAGACAAGAAUGGGUAAAAGACAUCAAGAAUGGGUAAAAGACAUCAAAUCUUCGAUGGUCAUAGACGGGUCCAUGAUACCACCUACUAUUCUACCAGUAAUCAUACCUAACAAUGAUUUCAAUGAAGCACAUAUAAUGAAUUACCAGUUUUAUGUGGUUGGGGGAAAUCAUAUGCUAGUCGCUCUUCGAGAACCUCAGGAAGAAACUAGAAUACAGAGAAAUGUUAAAGUGGAAGUAUUUGUCACUGACGAUGAAAUUAGAUCAAUCGCCAACACACACAAUUCUAAACUGAAAACGCUUCCUGUCACAUUCCAGGAUAAUGUAUACCAGGCAGGGAAACUUUCAGGAUAAUGUAUACCAGGCAAGGAAACUUUCAGGAUAAUGUAUACCAGGCAAGGAAACUUACAGAAGUUGAAGAUGAAAGUAAACUGAGCCAAGCUGUGAGUAAAAUGCUCACUGACGUUACACUUCAGCAGGUGUCACCAGGAACUUGUACAACGAUUGUUUCCAUUGCAAAAUACUCUGCAGAAGAGUAUGCCUUGGUGGAAGAGACUUCCAGAAUUAUGAGAGAACGGCAGAAGCAGGGAAAAGUAUUCCUGUUAAGUUAUUCCGCCUGCUCCAAGGACGUAUACUAUUACCAGAGAAAACGAAGCUGUUGAUAAAGGCCAGAGAUAAAGGAAUAUCUAAUGCCACCUCUACAGCAGAAACCAUGAAGAAGAAGAAAAUUAUACAAAAUAAUCUGGUGACAUGCUUAAAUGCAAAAGAUUGGCAGCAAGCCAAGGCUCGCUAUCCCAGUUAAACAUGCGAUAAAGUGAUAGAUGUUUAUGCGGGGCUACGAAUGCAGAACAACAUGCCAAAACCACUGCUAGACUUCUAAAAGAAAGCAGCGGAGGACCAGACACCGCCAAUACAACCUGAUAUACUGUCAGUCAACAUUGAAAUUAAGUAUGACGGUGGAGAAAUUUGUUGCGAAGAAACAAAGCACAAAUAUGACAAAAAAUAUAAAAAACUGAAAUUUUCAAAGACAUGGUGAAGAAAAGGAAACUCAAUGAAGAAAAAUAAUUUCAUAAUUAUAUGUAUUUAUAUGCUCCCCUUCGUCCGUCCGUGCGUCCGUCAUACUUUUUUCUAGAGUAUAACUUGAAAAGCAUUAAAAGCAUUUGAUUGGAUCUUCACAUAAUCAUAGAUGCCAUUGACACAUCGUGCACUGUCAAAGAACCAUAACUCCGCCUUAACUAGUUUUUGAAUUGUCUUCCUUUAUCAUACAAAAUAAAGUUUGUCUGGAGCAUUACUUGAAAAUUAUUCAUGACAUUUCUUUGAAUCUUCACUAAAUGAUAGAGGCAAUUGACGGAAAAGGCAGUAUCAAAGAACUAUAACUCUACUUUACCUAGUUAUGUCUCCCCCAGGAGACAUAUUGUUUUUGCCCUGUCCGUCCUUCCGUCCGUCCGUCCGUA